UCAAGCAGUACCAUGGCUGCCGAUGGCCCUGAAGAGCUAGAUGGCUGAGCACUGUGAAAAGAGUUCUGGAGAAACAAUCCCUGGGGAGCACUCCUCAAGCAGGGAAUCUUUUCUCAAACAAAUGUUUUAUACUUUUGUACCCUUGACUUUGCAAAGGAUUUCACAGACCUGGCCACAGCCAUCCAUGAUCUUCAAGCCCAUUUUGAGCUUUGUUCUUCCUCAACCUUGGACAACAGAGGUGCAGAACAAUAGACCAACCUGAUUAUAGAUAAGAUCAGUGCCUGAGGAGAGAAGUCCUUCCUAAUGACUACCAAAUUUUCAGAUGAGUGACCAACACAUGGAGAGAGGAGCCCUUGUGUUGAGUAAAUUUCUCACUACAUGGAAAACAUAAAGUUUACAAGAUCUGGGUGGGUAGGUGUUUGAGCCCACUGGACUUCAUAGACUGUGAUGUGGAAAGGCUUGAGAGGAUGAUGGCCUUGUGGGUAGAGACAGUGUUAGAUCUGAACAAGAGAAAGACAUAACCAAGCUGUCAUGGAAGAAUGAAAGCCCACUCAGGACUACUCUCCUAAAAUUACCAGGCGGAUGUAGGCAGCAACCUGGAAUACAACAGCAGCAGUGCGCACAGAAAAGAAGAUUCUUACUGACAUUGCAUACCAGCGAGUGAUGAGAGGGUCAAACCAAGGGAUACCGGUGUUCUCCCCGGGCAGGACUCAGAACACUGAAGAUGUAGAAUCUUUGACUUACUUAUCCAAGUGCAAAUAAAGGUCAACAU